AGUGAACGCUGGCGGUAGGCCUAACACAUGCAAGUCGAACGGCAGCACAGUAAGAGCUUGCUCUUACGGGUGGCGAGUGGCGGACGGGUGAGGAAUACAUCGGAAUCUACUUUUUCGUGGGGAAAACGGAGGGAAACUUACUCCUAUACCCUAAUCUACUUACCGGUGAAAUUCAGGGGUGUUCGGACCUUUUGCGGUUGAAUGAGCCGAUGUCGGAUUAGCUUGUUGGAGGGGUAAAGGCCCACCAAGGCCACGAUCCGUAGCCGGUCUGAGAGGAUGAUCAGCCACACUGGAACUGAGACACGGUCCAGACUCCUACGGGAGGCAGCAGUGGGGAAUAUUGGACAAUGGGCGCAAGCCUGAUCCAGCCAUACCGCGUGGGUGAAGAAGGCCUUCGGGUUGUAAAGCCCUUUUGUUGGGAAAGAAAAGCAGCAGGUUAAUACCCCGCUGUUCUGACGGUACCCAAAGAAUAAGCACCGGCUAACUUCGUG
rnacentral:rRNA from 1 species